rnacentral:tRNA from 1 species
UAUUGAGAAGCAGUGCUCUCAGCAUCAGACUGUGACUCUGAAAAUCAGGGUUCAAAUCCCCGCUUGGUGA